rnacentral:rRNA from 1 species
UAUUUAUUAGAUAAAGAACCAAUAUUUUUGGUGACUCAUAAUAACUUUACGGAUCACAUUAUGUGACAUAUCAUUCAAGUUUCUGACCUAUCAGCUUUAGACGGUAGGGUAUUGGCCUACCGUGGCUAUGACGGGUAACGGGGAAUUAGGGUUCGAUUCCGGAGAGGGAGCCUGAGAAACGGCUACCACAUCUAAGGAAGGCAGCAGGCGCGCAAAUUACCCAAUCCUAAUACAGGGAGGUAGUGACAAGAAAUAACAAUACAGAACCUUACGGUUUUGUAAUUGGAAUGAGUUAAGUAUAAACCCCUUAACAAGUAUCAAUUGGAGGGCAAGUCUGGUGCCAGCAGCCGCGGUAAUUCCAGCUCCAAUAGCGUAUAUUAAAGUUGUUGCAGUUAAAAAGCUCGUAGUUAAUCUUCUGUUAAUUUUUAUAUAUAAUAUUUCGAUAUUUAUAUAAUAUUAACAUAAUUCAUAUUACUUUUUAGUAUAUGAAACUUUACUUUGAGAAAAUUAGAGUGCUUAAAGCAGGCUAUUGCCUUGAAUACUCCAGCAUGGAAUAAUAUUAAGGAUUUUUAUUCUUCUUAUUGGUUCUAGAAUAAAAAUGAUGAUUAAUAGGAACAGUUGGGGGCAUUUGUAUUUAACAGUCAGAGGUGAAAUUCUUAGAUUUGUUAAAGACAAACUACUGCGAAAGCAUUUGCCAAGGAUGUUUUCAUUAAUCAAGAACGAAAGUUAGGGGAUCGAAGACGAUCAGAUACCGUCGUAGUCUUAACCAUAAACUAUGCCAACUAGAGAUUGGAGGUUGUUC